GAACAUUAUUCAACAAAUUUUAUUGAACAUUCUUUUUAUUAAAGUUUGAUUUCAUACCAACUCUCCUUUUCUAUUUAUAAUUACUCCCCUUGUUGACAUUGUGACGUGCAAACUAUCACUUCACCAUUUUGUACUGGCCUGUGGUUUUUAUCCUGAUGAAGAUGCACUAGAAACAGAAACACGUAGAUCUUUUUAAAUUACUACAGCAUAUCUUUAAGUAUUGUUAUAAAUAAGGGCCAAUUUUUUUUAAGUCAAAGGUGCAUAAUUUUAGUUUAUGCACCUUUAAAUGAUAACUUAACUUACUGUAACUUUUUGACAGCCAAGGUUCCUCAAAAUCUAUAGGGAGGCUGAUAUGUUUUGCUGUCAAGGCCAUAUGAUACAGUAACAGGGGAGGUAAUGAUGUUGCUAAUGUCCAAUGUUACUUUUCGCCAUUUCAAAUAGUUACAUAUUAAGAAAAGAUUCCUUCUUUGACUGAUUUUUAUCAUUCAGACUGAUUUAACUUGAAAAUGAGUUCAUGAACCCCUCUUUUUAAAAAUGACAUUAGGCUUGAAAAUGUAUCAAGAUUAUUUGUGCCAAUUUGAAGAAAACACC
rnacentral:lncRNA from 1 species